AAGACCUGUAAAAUUCUAAUAUACAUCUACUGGUUGCAACCCAGUCACUUUAAUUAAGCUAAGACCUU
rnacentral:tRNA from 1 species